CAAAUCAGGAUGAUAUUGGUGGAUGGUUGGGGGUGGGAUAUAUUUGAAAGAAUGUGUUUCAUCAUCUGAUCCACAUCAAUUCAUACAUUAGCACGAGUGUGAUGGGUGGAUUGCAAUGCAGUCUUUCAUCACAUCUCAUGUUUACGCUUGUUUGUUUGACAGAGUUUAAUUGACUUUAAUAAAUA
rnacentral:misc_RNA from 1 species